GGACUACUCGGGUUUCUAAUCCCAUUCGCUACCCACGCUUUCGUGUUUCAGUGUCAGGAAUGGCCCAGUGUACUGCUUUCGCUUUCGGUGUUCCCCAUGAUAUCAACGGAUUUCACCCCUACUCCAUGAGUUCCAUACACCCCUGCCAUCCUCUAGCUGUGCCGUUUCUUUCGCAGAUCCGGGGUUAAGCCCCGGGUUUUAACAAAAGACUAACACUGCCACCUACACACCCUUUACGCCCAAUGAUUCCGGAUAACGCUCGGGGCACUCGUAUUACCGCGGCUGCUGGCAC
rnacentral:rRNA from 1 species